rnacentral:rRNA from 1 species
GACAAACGCUGGCGGCGUGCUUAACACAUGCAAGUGGAGCGACGAACCAGGGCUUGCCCUGGGGCAGAGCCGCGAACGGGCGAGUAACACGGUGGUAACGUGCCCCGAUGACCGGGACAACCCGAGGAAACUCGGGCUAAUACCGGAUGUGGACCUCUCACAUCAGUGAGUUGUCUAAAGGUAGCUUCGGCUUCCGCAUUGGGAGCGGCCCGCGGCCCAUUAGCUUGUUGGUGAGGUAACGGCUUACCAAGGGUUCGAUGGGUAGCUGGUCUGAGAGGACGAUCAGCCACACUGGGACUGAGACACGGCCCAGACUCCUACGGGAGGCAGCAGUGAGGAAUCUUGCGCAAGGCGCGAAAGCGUGACGCAGCAACGCCGCGUGGGGGAAGACGGCCUUCGGGUUGUAAACCCCUUUCAGGAGGGACGAAGGUCACACGGUUAAUAGCCGGCGUGACUGACGGUACCUCCAGAAGAAGCCCCGGCUAACUACGUGCCAGCAGCCGCCGUAA